rnacentral:rRNA from 1 species
UUGGGCGUUAAGUUGCAGGGUAUAGACCCGAAACCCGGUGAUCUAGCCAUGGGCAGGUUGAAGGUUGGGUAACACUAACUGGAGGACCGAACCGACUAAUGUUGAAAAAUUAGCGGAUGACCUGUGGCUGGGGGUGAAAGGCCAAUCAAACCGGGAGAUAGCUGGUUCUCCCCGAAAGCUAUUUAGGUAGCGCCUCGUGAAUUCAUCUCCGGGGGUAGAGCACUGUUUCGGCUAGGGGGCCAUCCCGGCUUACCAACCCGAUGCAAACUGCGAAUACCGGAGAAUGUUAUCACGGGAGACACACGGCGGGUGCUAACGUCCGUCGUGAAGAGGGAAACAACCCAGACCGCCAGCUAAGGUCCCAAAGUCAUGGUUAAGUGGGAAACGAUGUGGGAAGGCCCAGACAGCCAGGAUGUUGGCUUAGAAGCAGCCAUCAUUUAAAGAAAGCGUAAUAGCUCACUGGUCGAGUCGGCCUGCGCGGAAGAUGUAACGGGGCUAAACCAUGCACCGAAGCUGCGGCAGCGACACUGUGUGUUGUUGGGUAGGGGAGCGUUCUGUAAGCCUGUGAAGGUGUGUCGUGAGGCAUGCUGGAGGUAUCAGAAGUGCGAAUGCUGACAUAAGUAACGAUAAAGCGGGUGAAAAGCCCGCUCGCCGGAAGACCAAGGGUUCCUGUCCAACGUUAAUCGGGGCAGGGUGAGUCGACCCCUAAGGCGAGGCCGAAAGGCGUAGUCGAUGGGAAACGGGUUAAUAUUCCCGUACUUGGUGUUACUGCGAAGGGGGGACGGAGAAGGCUAUGUUGGCCGGGCGACGGUUGUCCCGGUUUAAGCGUGUAGGCUGGUUUUCCAGGCAAAUCCGGAAAAUCAAGGCUGAGGCGUGAUGACGAGGCACUACGGUGCUGAAGCAACAAAUGCCCUGCUUCCAGGAAAAGCCUCUAAGCAUCAGGUAACAUCAAAUCGUACCCCAAACCGACACAGGUGGUCAGGUAGAGAAUACCAAGGCGCUUGAGAGAACUCGGGUGAAGGAACUAGGCAAAAUGGUGCCGUAACUUCGGGAGAAGGCACGCUGACACGUAGGUGAAGUGAUUUACUCAUGGAGCUGAAGUCAGUCGAAGAUACCAGCUGGCUGCAACUGUUUAUUAAAAACACAGCACUGUGCAAACACGAAAGUGGACGUAUACGGUGUGACGCCUGCCCGGUGCCGGAAGGUUAAUUGAUGGGGUCAGCGCAAGCGAAGCUCCUGAUCGAAGCCCCGGUAAACGGCGGCCGUAACUAUAACGGUCCUAAGGUAGCGAAAUUCCUUGUCGGGUAAGUUCCGACCUGCACGAAUGGCGUAAUGAUGGCCAGGCUGUCUCCACCCGAGACUCAGUGAAAUUGAACUCGCUGUGAAGAUGCAGUGUACCCGCGGCAAGACGGAAAGACCCCGUGAACCUUUACUAUAGCUUGACACUGAACAUUGAGCCUUGAUGUGUAGGAUAGGUGGGAGGCUUUGAAGUGUGGACGCCAGUCUGCAUGGAGCCGACCUUGAAAUACCACCCUUUAAUGUUUGAUGUUCUAACGUGGACCCGUUACCCGGGUUGCGGACAGUGUCUGGUGGGUAGUUUGACUGGGGCGGUCUCCUCCUAAAGAGUAACGGAGGAGCACGAAGGUUGGCUAAUCCUGGUCGGACAUCAGGAGGUUAGUGCAAUGGCAUAAGCCAGCUUGACUGCGAGCGUGACGGCGCGAGCAGGUGCGAAAGCAGGUCAUAGUGAUCCGGUGGUUCUGAAUGGAAGGGCCAUCGCUCAACGGAUAAAAGGUACUCCGGGGAUAACAGGCUGAUACCGCCCAAGAGUUCAUAUCGACGGCGGUGUUUGGCACCUCGAUGUCGGCUCAUCACAUCCUGGGGCUGAAGUAGGUCCCAAGGGUAUGGCUGUUCGCCAUUUAAAGUGGUACGCGAGCUGGGUUUAGAACGUCGUGAGACAGUUCGGUCCCUAUCUGCCGUGGGCGCUGGAGAACUGAGGGGGGCUGCUCCUAGUACGAGAGGACCGGAGUGGACGCAUCACUGGUGUUCGGGUUGUCAUGCCAAUGGCACUGCCCGGUAGCUAAAUGCGGAAGAGAUAAGUGCUGAAAGCAUCUAAGCACGAAACUUGCCCCGA